GGGCACCAGAGUGCCGAGCCCAGGACGCCCCCGGCCCAGGCCCGUGGGGUGGACAAGUCCUUCACUUCUCGCCGGAGUGUGUGGAGGAGUGAUGGGCAGAACCAGCACUUCCCUCAGGCACUAGACCUAUCACGAGUGAACUUAGUUCCCUCCUAUACUCCUUCACUCUACCCUAAGAACACAGAUCUAUUUGAGAUGAUUGAGAAGAUGCAGGGAAGCAGGAUGGAUGAACAACGCUGCUCCUUCCCACCGCCCCUCAAAACAGAGGAGGACUACAUUCCGUACCCGAGCGUGCACGAGGUCUUGGGGCGAGAAGGACCCUUCCCCCUCAUCCUGCUGCCCCAGUUUGGGGGCUACUGGAUUGAGGGCACCAACCACGAAAUCACCAGCAUCCCCGAGACAGAGCCACUGCAGUCGCCCACAACCAAGGUGAAGCUCGAGUGCAACCUCACAGCCCGCAUCUACCGGAAGCACUUUCUCGGCAAGGAGCAUUUCAAUUACUACUCACUGGACACUGCCCUCGGCCACCUUGUCUUCUCACUCAAGUACGAUGUCAUCGGGGACCAAGAGCACCUGCGGCUGCUGCUCAGGACCAAGUGCCGGACAUACCAUGAUGUCAUCCCCAUCUCCUGCCUCACCGAGUUCCCUAAUGUUGUCCAGAUGGCAAAGUUGGUGUGUGAAGACGUCAACGUGGAUCGGUUCUAUCCUGUGCUCUACCCCAAGGCUUCCCGGCUCAUCGUCACCUUUGACGAGCAUGUCAUCAGCAAUAACUUCAAGUUUGGCGUCAUUUAUCAGAAGCUUGGGCAGACCUCCGAGGAAGAACUCUUCAGCACCAAUGAGGAAAGUCCCGCCUUCGUGGAGUUCCUUGAAUUUCUUGGCCAGAAGGUCAAACUGCAGGACUUUAAGGGGUUCCGAGGAGGCCUGGACGUGACCCACGGGCAGACGGGGACCGAAUCUGUGUACUGCAACUUCCGCAACAAGGAGAUCAUGUUUCACGUGUCCACCAAGCUGCCAUACACAGAAGGGGACGCCCAGCAGUUGCAGCGGAAGCGGCACAUCGGGAACGACAUCGUGGCUGUGGUCUUCCAGGAUGAGAACACUCCUUUCGUGCCCGACAUGAUCGCGUCCAACUUCCUGCAUGCCUACGUAGUGGUGCAGGCUGAGGGCGGGGGCCCUGAUGGCCCCCUCUACAAGGUCUCUGUCACUGCAAGAGAUGAUGUGCCCUUCUUUGGACCCCCCCUCCCGGACCCCGCUGUGUUCAGGAAGGGGCCUGAGUUCCAGGAAUUUUUGCUGACAAAGCUGAUCAAUGCUGAAUAUGCCUGCUACAAGGCAGAGAAGUUUGCCAAACUGGAGGAGCGGACGCGGGCCGCCCUCCUGGAGACGCUCUAUGAGGAACUACACAUCCACAGCCAGUCCAUGAUGGGCUUGGGCGGCGACGAGGACAAGAUGGAGAAUGGCAGUGGGGGCGGCGGCUUCUUUGAGUCUUUCAAGCGGGUCAUCCGGAGCCGCAGCCAGUCCAUGGAUGCCAUGGGGCUGAGCAACAAGAAGCCCAACACUGUGUCCACCAGCCACAGCGGGAGCUUCGCGCCCAACAACCCCGACCUGGCCAAGGCGGCUGGAAUAUCAUUGCUUAUUCCUGGGAAAAGUGCGAGUAGAUUCGGACGCCGGGGCAGUGCCAUAGGCAUAGGAACCGUGGAAGAGGUUGUCGUCCGCGGGGCCGCCGGCUCUGGAGGCUGCCUGCACGCGCUGUUCUCUGCUCGCUCUCAGGACGGAGGCCAUAUUGGGGACGUUGCCCCUCUGCCCCCGGGACAGGCCCCAGGGCGUGCGGGAUGGAGUGGCGGCAGCUCCGAUGGCACUCAGCACCUGCUUUGGGGCCUGGUACCUGUGCCAGAGCCAGUGCCCCUCACCAGGGGCUUCUGGCCCUGCCUUGGCCCCUGGGACCCUGGCCCAGUCCCUGCCAGGAUCCGGUACCCAAAGGCCCUACACCCAGCCGCACGUCCCCCAAUAUCGCCGGUCUGCAUGGAGCGCCAUCCCUCUCCUCUGCCCUGACUCCUCCUCCCCGCCACGAAGUGACCUGGGGUCCUACCCCUUCCUGCCUCCAGAGAAGCUGGGGGCGGGCUUCUGGGGCCUGGGGCAUCCCAGCACAGUGUGUGGGAAGCUGGGGGAGUCUUCCAGCUGCUGGGCCAGAACCUCCCCCAGCCAAUUUGGAGGUUCCGGGGAGGGGCCCUAGCUGGCACGGGGUGGGACUUGGGUUGCUACACUGCCCUCUGACCACUGCCCUUAGGCUGCAGAUCCCACAGAGCCCUGGGGGACGGGGAGCAGUAGCCAUUCUGAGGACUUGGCCUCCUCCCACCCUAGCCCCCUCAGGACACUGUCCUAAUCCUGGGCCAGUAUUGACGUGCAGUCCUGCCGUGUGAGCUCGGGAGAGCCCCUUGCCCUCCUGGGGACUGUUUCCCUUUCGUAAACUGGGAGGCUGUCUCUGGGGAUGGAUAUCUUCUCUCGUUCUUUCUUGCUCAUCAACUCUGCUUCAGGGCCUGGGGCAGCAGGGUCCCCAGAGGGGAUGUGGGGGGGGCCCUGGGGCUCCCAGGUAAGGUGGCACUGAGUUGGGGCCUCUCCCCACAGUCACUGAUUGUCCCUGGGAAGAGUCCCACGAGGAAGAAGUCGGGCCCGUUCGGCUCCCGCCGCAGCAGCGCCAUUGGCAUCGAGAACAUACAGGAGGUGCAGGAGAAGAGGGAGAGCCCUCCAGCUGGUCAGAAGACCCCAGACAGCGGGCACGUCUCACAGGAGCCCAAGUCGGAGAACUCAUCCACUCAGAGCUCCCCAGAGAUGCCCACGACCAAGAACAGAGCGGAGACCGCAGCGCAGAGAGCAGAGGCGCUCAAGGACUUCUCCCGCUCCUCGUCCAGUGCCAGCAGCUUCGCCAGCGUGGUGGAGGAGACGGAGGGUGUGGACGGAGAGGACACAGGCCUGGAAAGCGUGUCGUCCUCAGGAACACCCCACAAGCGGGACUCCUUCAUCUAUAGCACGUGGCUGGAGGACAGUGUCAGCACCACUAGUGGGGGCAGCUCCCCAGUGAGGUGGCUCCCUCCUGCCCCCCUCCCCAGGCCCCUCUCGAUCACCCCACCCAGACGCCGGCAAGUUGGGGGACCCUGCGUGUCCCGAGAUCAAGAUCCAGCUGGAAGCAUCUGAGCAGCACAUGCCCCAGCUGGGCUGUUAGCCGGGCCACCCCCUCUGAAGGUGAAACUGAGCAGAUGAGGCCACAGAAGCACAAGGGGAAGGUGCCGUGUCAAGCCCAGGCAGACGAGACCUCUGCCCUGAAGACCAACACCAGCCCGUGGGCUGCCCCCUGCCUCCCUACCCUCCCCAUGGCCCACCCAUCUGGGCUGUCUCUGCAGGGCAGAGCUGUCCAGACCUGGGAUCAGGGAAGCUGCUGGCAUCGUCCUCACCCCCAGCCUGGGGGUCUGGGCUGGGGCAGGGAUUGCUCAGUGGAAGCAGGACUGGGGGUCUGGCUUGCCCCCUCCCUAGGCCUCCAUCACCCCUGAGUAUCCCUCUGGACUCAGAGGGAACAAGGUGGGAGAGAGAGUUUGAGACAGCUCCAUGUGGAGAGCUUAGCCCCUGGAGGCAGCACAAGGAAGAUGUGAUAUGUGGGGGAGUGAGCACUGGGUUGGGAGCCGGGUCCUGGUUUCCAAUUUGGGUUCUGCUGUGUGACUCUGGGCAAGUCACUCUCCCUCUCUGGGCAUGUCUGCUACAAAUGGACAAGAUUAUUUCAGAGGUCAGUGAAGACUGUGAUUACAUGCACCUGCCCUAGAAGGUGGGAUUUUCUUCCCAGGGACCUCCCAUCACCCUACCCUGCCUCUUGAGGUCCCUGGAGCCCCAGAUGGGCUGAGGGGCAGGGAGCUGGCUGUGCCCAGUAUGCCUCCUGGACCCUCCAGUUCUGCCACAGGUCUGCCGAUGCCCUGUCCACUGCCUACACAUGACAGACAAGUAACCCCCUCAUGGGGGAUGGGGACCUACCUGGCUCCUCAGCCAGCACCCAGCUUAACCCCUGCCAUCCCAUGCUGGGCCCUCCAGGCCAAGAGUCUCAGCUGGCCGAGAGUCCAGGCCUUGCCUCCCCCGACCGCCAUGGAGGGGGCAGCCCGGCACAGCUGCUGGGAGCCCUUGUGUGUCUGGUCACACUUUUUAGGCGCCACGCCAAAGGCCAGCCUCCUGGACCCAAUACCCAUUUUGGAAGCCCCUGUGGCCGUGUGGAUGUCGGUAACAGUUGUAUAAAAUAAAUUCUAUUUAUCGCUAUUGU
rnacentral:sRNA from 1 species